rnacentral:lncRNA from 1 species
UCGAGGGCGUGGCUCUGAUGCAGUAUCUCGCCGUAAAUACGGGUCCCCCUUGGAUUGGUGACGGUGGAGAGCUUCCUGUCCAGCGCCACCACCGCCCCGCGAACCGCCUGCUCGUCCUUCUCCCAGGCCCUGAGCUUCCGCGCUUGGCCUUUGCCCGCCUCUGCCGGCGGCCGCGCGGCCUGCCGCCGCUGUUCCCAGAGCUGAAGCACGCUCCCGGCGAAGGCCUGCAUCGCCUCCACCACCUCCUGUUCGGAUGUGUUCUGCAUGGCCUGCGACCACUGGUUGCAGACGACGAACACGGGGGGAGCUCCUAGCCUUCCCGGGGAGAAGGGGGCGACGCCGUCGGCGGUCACCUCCGGUUCCUCGCGGAUGAUCCUCAAGAGCCAGUUGUUCAGCGCCGCCGCGAACUUUUUCUGGGUGUUGAACCAGAAGCAGAACCGGUCGAUCCAAAAGAGGAGCGAGAGCUCCAGCUCCCUCGCCACGUCGGGGUUCCCGCCGCCGGCGCCGGCGGCGGCGUUCAAGCUUCUGGACUCGGAGACGGCCUCCUGCUGGCUCUUGUGGCACUCCCUCAACGCCCUCCACAUCCCCACGAAUCUGCAGCCGGCGGAGGAAGGCUCAGGGUUUCCGUCUUCCAUGACAGGAGUCAACGCUCAAAAAUACGAACGGCGGAGGUCGGGAAGUGUACCCUAGGAUCAGCCCGUUGAGCUGCGGCCACAGUUCCUCGUCCCUCAGCGCGCUGACCUUCCUCGAGAUGGAGUCAACGACUUGAAUUGCCACCCCGAUCCUCGUCGCCAGCUUCUUCACCUUCGCCUGGGCUGCGUUGAUCUUGUCGUCCUCCGCGCCCUUGUCGUCCAAGCGUUUCAGCAGCCUGAGCUUCCGUUCAUGGAGCAACCUCAUCUCCUCCUCCGCCUGCAUGCACCAGGCGAAACCAGCAUGAGCCAACCGCAGGAGCGAGCCUGCUGCAGGAGAUUGAGGAAGAAGACGGAGAGAGCCUCCUCAGCGUACCAAGACUUCCGCGUAAAGCUUCCUUUCCCAGAUGUAGAGCUUCUGCAGCGUCGAGGAGAGGCCCACCGACUCCAUCGCCACCUCUUCGUCGUCCUCCCGUUCUCCGUUUGCAGCAGAGCUCCCCGAGGUCAGGGGCAUGGCGGGGACGAUGGCGCUCAUCACUCUCGAAGAUACCCCUCCAUACUUCUUCCGGUGGUACGGCCGCUUGCCCACCUCCAGCACCCCUGAGAGCCCAUCGCAGGACUCGGAAGCUCUGAGAAACAGGGCCUGGAUCUCCCGCACCACCUCGGAGGCGCCUCGAGACUGCGGGACCAGCUUCUUGCCGGCGACCUCCGUUUGCAGUCCCUUCUGAGCUUCGUCCGCCGGCGGUAGCACGACCUCUCUGUCGCCGCCGCUGGGCCCGGCCUGGUUGUGAGCUUUCUCCUCGGCGGCGCUCUCAGCCUUGCCGGAAGCUGAGAUCUCCACCUGAGUGGAGGAGGAAGCGGCGGCGAUGUGUUUCUGAUCGCCGUAAGCUUCCUUGAUGACCUCUGUUUCCUCGUCCUCCAGAUCAGGAAUCCCCUCCUCCUCCCUCACAUCCUUGGAGCUCCUGCUGGGCGUGUAGGCGGAGUAGUAAUUGUCGUAGGACUCGAACGGGUUCAGAAAGUCCCAGCCCGACACCGUCGGCGGUGAGGGAGGCGGCGGCGGCUGAGCUGAAGAGGACGCGGCGGCGGAGGAAGGACCCGCAGCCGCCGGCGGCGGCGAGGAGGCACCGAAGAAGCUGCUGCCCAUCCCCCCAUAAG